UCUUGGUCAUUUAGAGGAAGUAAAAGUCGUAACAAGGUCUCCGUUGGUGAACCAGCGGAGGGAUCAUUACGAGAGUGUCACCACUCCCAACCCACUGUUUACCUACCCGUCCACCGUGCUUCGGCAGGCAGUCCUGUGGGACAGGGCCUCGCCCCCGCGAGGGGGUGCCUGCCGCUGGCCAACCAAAAAUUCUAGCUGUUUUUGUACCAUCUGAGUCUUCCACAAAUAAACAAAACUUUCAACAACGGAUCUCUUGGUUCUGGCAUCGAUGAAGAACGCAGCGAAAUGCGAUAAGUAAUGUGAAUUGCAGAAUUCAGUGAAUCAUCGAAUCUUUGAACGCACAUUGCGCCCACUAGUAUUCUGGUGGGCAUGCCUGUUCGAGCGUCAUUUCAACCCUCAAGCCUGGCUUGGUGUUGGGGCUCUGCGUCUGCAGUCCCUUAAAUCCAGUGGCGGACACGCUAGGUCUCCGAGCGCAGUAGUUUCUCCUCGCUCAGGGCGUCCGGCGUGGGCUUGCCUCGCACCCAUCUUUUACAAGGUUGACCUCGGAUCAGGUAGGAAUACCCGCUGAACUUAAGCAUAUCAAUAAGCGGAGGAA
rnacentral:rRNA from 1 species